UAUAAAUCCUUGUGUUGGUUACUGAAUUGUCAUUACUAAACUUACAUCUCAGCUUAAAUCAUAUGCUAAACAUGUGCUGAACACUGACUGUACUGGAAAUGCUCUAAACGAAAGGAGUCGUGAUGUUUUGAUAAGAAGUCAGCAUGAUGAUUUAAGGAAUAAUGGAGCGUAUGAUUUGAACGUGGAAGACUCGUCCCGAACCAACAUGGCAAUUUAGGGCAUAAGAGGAGAACGAUAUGUGUCGGUGGUAGGCUGCAACUAUACCGUGGAACAACUAGUGUUUUGUUUGCACUUCUAGCAAACAUGAUCGGAAAGCACGUGCUGCAAAUGCACGUGUAUUUCGGUCGCCUAGCUGCAGUCGAUUUAGAUGCAGGAUAGGCGAUGCUCAUCAGCACUUUUGGUCAUGCUUGUGCUCAGAACCCCGGAAUGAGCACUAGAAUUGUAUGAUGGAAAGCAGUUGAAGACGGACACAUGGUCUUGAUAAUAUCGUAACAUUCACGGAAAUACACAGAUGGUAUUCCGAAUGGAGAAAGAUAUUGAUGGAACGCGCGAACAGAUGCGAGUGUAAAUGAAGGUGGCCAUGCUUUCAUCCUCAAAAUGGCGGCCCACGAGAAAGGGGCCCGUGAAGGGGCCCGGGGGUUCGGGUUAGGGGAGGUGGCGGGCGUUUUUUUCUUUCUUUCAUAUUUAUUUCCGAGCUUACAUUUCCAAAUUUUCAAAACAAUUCGAGAUUCUAAAAAUCAGAUUCUUAUGACUCAGAAAAACACAUAUACACCCAAAAUUACUUCGGAGAGCAAAUCUGCUCCGUGUCCUAAAAUAAGCCAAUUACCAACGGAUCUAAAUAAGAAAUCCUUGCAACUUUUUGAAACUUUUUCGGAGCUUAGUAUUUCAACAGAAAGCGUGAAAUAUUUGCCAAAAGAACACAGAGACCCGAAUGACGCAACGAUCUAUUGCAAGAACUUGUUUCUGAAAGACAGAAAAGGGCGUUUCUAUUUGGUAAUUUGCCUUGAAGACGAAGUGGUUGAUUUGAAAUCUUUGAGACAAAAACUUAAAGCUUACAGGAACUUUUCUUUUGCCUCUGCUACCGAGGUAUCGUGUAUUCUGGGUGUUUGUCCAGGGGAGGUAACUCCGUUAGCGUUACCACAAGACACGGACGGAAAAGUCACAGUUGCAGUAAUGCAAUCGAUCUGCACCCAAGAAAAGCUUCUCAAUUUCCAUCCACUGGACAAACGAUAUGCUACUCGUAUGUCGUUCAUUGACCUGCAGAGGUUUCUCACCAACUGUGGUCAUACCCUGGAAAAACUGACUCCAUGAAACCUUGUGUAGACUUCUUCUACAAUUCUCGGAUCAGUUUAAAGGACAAUUCGGAUAAAAAAAAACUUUAUUGAAUCUCUUUUCUAAAACAUUGGGAAUUAAAAGAAUAAGCAG